rnacentral:rRNA from 1 species
UGAGGAAUAUUGGUCAAUGGACGAGAGUCUGAACCAGCCAAGUAGCGUGAAGGAUGAAGGUUCUAUGGAUUGUAAACUUCUUUUAUACGGGAAUAAACGAAUCCACGCGUGGAUUUUUGCAUGUACCGUAUGAAUAAGGAUCGGCUAACUCCGUGCCAGCAGCCGCGGUAAUACGGAGGAUCCGAGCGUUAUCCGGAUUUAUUGGGUUUAAAGGGAGCGUAGAUGGGUUGUUAAGUCAGUUGUGAAAGUUUGCGGCUCAACCGUAAAAUUGCAAUUGAUACUGGCAGUCUUGAGUACAGUUGAGGUAGGCGGAAUUCGUGGUGUAGCGGUGAAAUGCUUAGAUAUCACGAAGAACUCCGAUUGCGAAGGCAGCUUACUAACCUGUAACUGACAUUGAUGCUCGAAAGUGUGGGUAUCAAACAGGAUUAGAUACCCUGGUAGUCCACACGGUAAACGAUGAAUACUCGCUGUUUGCGAUAUACAGUAAGCGGCCAAGCGAAAGCGUUAAGUAUUCCACCUGGGGAGUACGCCGGCAACGGUGAAACUCAAAGGAAUUGACGGGGGCCCGCACAAGCGGAGGAACAUGUGGUUUAAUUCGAUGAUACGCGAGGAACCUUACCCGGGCUUGAAUUGCAACUGAAUGAUGUGGAGACAUGUCAGCCGCAAGGCAGUUGUGAAGGUGCUGCAUGGUUGUCGUCAGCUCGUGCCGUGAGGUGUCGGCUUAAGUGCCAUAACGAGCGCAACCCUUAUCGAUAGUUACCAUCAGGUUAUGCUGGGGACUCUGUCGAGACUGCCGUCGUAAGAUGUGAGGAAGGUGGGGAUGACGUCAAAUCAGCACGGCCCUUACGUCCGGGGCUACACACGUGUUACAAUGGGGGGUACAGAAGGCAGCUACACGGCGACGUGAUGCUAAUCCCGAAAGCCUCUCUCAGUUCGGAUUGGAGUCUGCAACCCGACUCCAUGAAGCUGGAUUCGCUAGUAAUCGCGCAUCAGCCACGGCGCGGUGAAUACGUUCCC